rnacentral:rRNA from 1 species
UAGCGCCGGCUAACUCUGUGCCAGCAGCCGCGGUAAUACACGAGGGUUGCGAGCGUUAAUGCGGAUUUACUAGGGCGUAAAAGCGUGCGUAGGCGGCUUUUAAAGUCGGAUGUGAAAUCCCCGAGCUUAACUUGGGAAUUGCAUUCGAUACUGGGAAGCUAGAGUAUGGGAGAGGAUGGUAGAAUUCCAGGUGUAGCGGUGAAAUGCGUAGAGAUCUGGAGGAAUACCGAUGGCGAAGGCAGCCAUCUGGCCUAAUACUGACGCUGAGGUACGAAAGCAUGGGGAGCAAACAGGAUUAGAUACCCUGGUAGUCCAUGCCGUAAACGAUGUCUACUAGCCGUUGGGGCCUUUGAGGCUUUAGUGGCGCAGCUAACGCGAUAAGUAGACCGCCUGGGGAGUACGGUCGCAAGACUAAAACUCAAAUGAAUUGACGGGGGCCCGCACAAGCGGUGGAGCAUGUGGUUUAAUUCGAUGCAACGCGAAGAAGCUUACCUGGCCUUGACAUACUAGAAAUUUCCAGAGAUGGAUAGGUGCCUUCGGGAAUCUAGAUACAGGUGCU